GGCGUCGUGGCCGGCGGCUAGGCACCGGUCUGCAAAACCGUCUACCCCGGUUCGAAUCCGGGCGAUGCCU
rnacentral:tRNA from 1 species